GCUCAAGUCCCUGAUAAAAAAAUAAAAGGAGUGGUGCCCUCGGGUUCAAAAACCUGAACGGUGGUCUUCAGUUGUUCCCCCAAGCUCCUCUAUCAGAGGCCCAGACACUCCAAGAGGCUGGGAAGAGGCAAGUGGCUUUCCCUGACUGGCAUCAGACUCCUGGAUGGCUGUGUUUCUGCAUACUCCACCAUCAACAAUCAGAAGGGCACUGCUUUCUUCAAGAAGGGGACCUUGCAAAGAACUGUCUCAGAUGGACUAUCUUUGAGUUCAUCUUGUUCUGAAUGUGAGUCUGAGUCUUUGUUUCCAGAUGACACAGUGCUGUCUGAGUCCUCUGAAUCACCUGCCUCAGAGCUGCAGCAAAGUUUCUGCUGCCCAGAAACUGAAUGGGCUGCUUGUAAUGCAGAUUCUUCCUCCUGGACAAGAAGUGCUGCUGCUUCUAGUUCUUCCAGUUCUAACCCCAACUGGGCCUUUGUAAGGGAGACUUCCUUUAAGGCUUCUGCAAGAGCUGCCAACGUUUUGGAUUUGACUUUCUGAGUCCACACACAGUAGUAUGAGAUGUAGAGAUCAUUCAGUAUGUAUGCUGGGUCGUUUUCCUGAAAAAUUUUGUGAAUAUCCAGGAGACACUUUAAAACUGCACUUUUACUUAAUUGCAGUAUCUUUAUAGUCUCCCCGUAGGCCUUCAUCGCCAGUUUGAAAUGGCGAUAGAGCAGGUAACACAAUACCCUUCUUCCAAAAGACACCAUGAUAUCAUGAACAUUAGUCCAAGUCUCAAACCAGCAUAGUAUUGGACUCAAGUUUCGUGAUAUUCCAUGCAGAUUCAACGUUCUUGUCUCCUUCAGUGACACGGGUUUCUUAGCAAUAUGCCAGAAGGAUAUCAAUCGAACUGUAGUACACUUGACGACAGGCUCUGUUGUCUAGCAGAUAAGAUUUAUUGACAAAUUCUUGUAGCUGAUAUUUCUCUUCUUCAGAAAAAGACACUAAUGCAGCAUGAUUUUCUUGCUUCUGACUCUUUUCCAAAAAGGCCGUCAUUUUUUAAUAUUUGUCAGUCCACCAAGGAUUAUACUUCAAAAUCUGUUCAACUGCCUCAUCUUCAAAAAAGUCAGCUAGAUAAUGAUCAGGAUCAAACUUGGCCAGCUCGGCGGCCAGGUGCUUUUGUUUUCGUUCUGCUGCAGGGAUGAAAUCUGGAUCCUUAAUAACAUCACUCAAUUCAUCCUGUAACUGCUGAAACACUCCUGAUCGUAAGUUUCCAAACCCAUAGUGGCAUGAGGAUUCAAAGCACUUUCUGUUACCUCUUCAUAGGGUGUCUGCUCAAUUUCCCAAUCAAACUCUUCAUCGUCAACUACUUCCUCAGGAAUUUCAGAAUCACCUAUUGCUUCCACAAGUGGUUUUGCUGUCCCGGAUUUUCCUGGUGCCAGAAGAGCAACACAUGUUCAGCCCCUCAAAAUGCUGGCCAGGGGUUUCUCUGGGCAGGCGAGUGGUAAAAAUUCCUUUAUCUGCAUCAUAGGACCCUUGCUCGCUUCCGUAUCCAUAUUCUACAAUUCUUCCAGGAGGGGUUAAUCUGAGAAAGUACGGCUUGGCAUAGUAGUCUAGGCCGACCCCUCGAAGUAGACGUUGAACUCGGAGGCCGGGGCAUAGGGCACGCGGAUGGCGAUGGUCAGGAAAUCCGGCUCCUGGCUGAGGCUGAACGCCGGGGUCAGCAUCGCGGCACCAGACGCAGGGGCCAGCGCGGCUCGCCCUCGCUGCCGCGGCGGUCCCACCAAGCAACUCUCUCCAAUUUUACCUUUUUAAAAUAAAAGAUGUCUGGGCCAGGCGCAGUGGCUCACGCUUGUAAUCCCAGCACUUUGGGAAGCCGAGGCGGGUGGAUCCUGACCUGAGGUCAGGAGUUCAAGAUCAGCCCCGCCGACAUGACGAAACUCCGUCUCUACUAAAAAUACAAACAUCAGCCGGACGUGGUGGUGGGCGCCUGUAAUCCCCACUACUCGGGAGGCUGAGGCAGGAGAAUCACUUGAACCCGGGAGGCAGAGGUUGCAAUGAGCCGAGAUCAUGCCACUGUACUCCAGCCUGGGUGACAGAGUGAGACUCUGUCUCAUCUGUCUUCCAGGACACAGAAGCCUCCUAUACACACAUUUUGGCACUUGAUUAUGUUAUGUCUUUUACAGUUCUCUGCAUGUUUCUUGCAGGGGUAGUACACAAAAUAAUGAAUACAUGUUGGGUCAGCACCUCCUCCAAUUACCACUUGCAAACAAGUCCUGGAUGGCCAGAACUAAUUGGAAGGUUGAGACAAAAAUUAUAUCUCGCACACUAAAGAAGGGGAGAUUGAUACAGCGCGCUCACCUAAAUUUCGUAGUGCCUUCAUGAACUCUUCAAAAGCUUCAAAUCUAGGCUAGGCUACAGGAAGAACAGCAGCAACUGAAGACUGGCACCUUUUCUGGAACCUCAGCAGCACCUUCCUUGUUUCGUAAGAUUUCGAAGAAGCAUAUCAAAAUUCUUCCACCCAUUCCUUCACAGUAUAAUAGGAGAAAACAUCUAUCCUCCGUUGACACCUGGAAGAAUGAGAUUCCAACUCACUCCAGGACAUGGCCAGAAAAAUUCAACAAAAGAUUUGCUAAAUCCUCUGCACUAUUAUCUAGACCAGGAUUUCUCAACCUCAGCUCUGUGGACAUUUGGGCCAGAUAAUUCUUUGUUACCAGAGGCUGUCCUGUACAUCAUCAGGUGUUUAGCAGGGCAAGUUAUGAAUAAAGUUGAGCCAUAAAUCAAAAGGAUGUUAACUGAAAAAGAAGUCUCAAAGCAGAUGGUGAGAAAGUGAAGACAGAGAGCCUCUGCCCCAGUUCAGGAGGAAUAUUCCGGACC
rnacentral:lncRNA from 10 species